UAAUACAGAGGUGCCAAGCGUUAGGCGGAAUCACUGGGCUUAAAGCGCGUGUAGGUGGGUCGUUAAGUGUCCGCGUGAAAUCCCACGGCUCAACCGUGGAACUGCCGGGCAUACUGGCGAUCUUGAGGCAUUCAGGGGCGAGCGGAACAAAUGGUGGAGCGGUGAAAUGCGUAGAUAUCAUUUGGAACGCCAAUGGUGAAAACAGCUCGCUGGGAAUGAUCUGACACUGAGACGCGAAAGCCAGGGGAGCGAACGGGAUUAGAUACCCCGGUAGUCCUGGCCCUAAACGAUGUCCACUAGAUCGUGGCACCUCUGACGGUGUCAUGGUCGGAGCAAAAGUGUUAAGUGGACCGCCUGGGAAGUACGGUCGCAAGGCUA
rnacentral:rRNA from 1 species